UGGAUAGCCCCAACUACCUCACUCGUAUCCAUCAUAGAACAUGGAGGUCCAAAAGCAGAAAAGCAGUCAGGCCCAUUCUAUUUCCUCUUCUCUCUCAACUCUAAUCCCGUGUCGAAGCGCAUCUCGAUCCCCACCGGCCACCGCCUCCGCUCUGGCCGGCCCCGCCGCGACUCCCCGACCGACGGCGCCACCAGCCGCCGCCGCCCUGACGAGGUCACGGUUGCUAUCGGCGUCUCCCUCGGCUAGGCCCUCUCCCCGCGGCCACAGGAGCUCAUGGUUGUGCGUGUGAGGCUCGCUCGGUCCGUGCCCAUGGCUGUGGUGCGCGCCCCCACGUCGUCCGCAUCAGGUGAUAGCAGGGAUGGAGCAGGUCGGCGCUGCUGUCUUGGAUAACCUGAUCCCAUUCCAGUAGAGGUGACACCAUAGCACUCUGUGGAGCUUCGUCCCUGGCUGCUAGCUAAUCAGUACACGAUGCACUAGCUAAUCUAUGCAUUAUCUGCUAGCUCUUUGGGUGAUGCUCUUUUUUUGUUAUCUGGUAAAAUGUUGUACUAGUACGCAUAAUUAGAAUUUGCUAGAUGUAUGUGAUUCAGUGCAAAUUUUGAUUGCAAUUGUUUGAGAUAUACUGAUUUCAGCGAGAAUAGGAAAUUAUAGAGUCUAUGACAUGUAGACCCCCUUUGUUAUUGACUAAACAAACGGACAAGUUUUUGUCCAAAUAGGUCUGCCGGUUGUGCAGACCCUUGUCAAGGGCGACCCAUUUCUGACAAUAAUGGACAUUUUUGUGUCCGAAAUAGGUCUCCCCAUUGAAGAUGCCUUUAGAUUAUAAUUAACUUCCAGUUGAAUAACUCCCCCCCUUUGUAAGCAUUGCCGAAAUUAUUGAUAUAUACCCCUUUUAUUUUUGUUGACCUGAAUAUUACGUUUGAGUCUAAACUCGUACUCUAUGAACUAACAAUCACUACAAUUCUUCACACAAAUAGACAAUCUUAUAAUAUAACCCUGACAUCGUACAGUUGUGAUUAAGCACCUGCAUAGAUUUACUUCUCGCCAUUGUAAAAAAAUCUAGUUCAUUUCGUCAGGUCAUGAUCAUACAUGAGUACCCUAGAUUAGUAGACAUUCUUGGAAUUGUUAUCAGGAACUGUUAAUUGGAACCACCCAAUGGAUCACAGGCUUUUCUCUUGUAUAAUCAGGCGAAUAAUGCAGAUCAACAUCACAGAAUGCAUCAUGGCAUGGAUUUCUCAUUGGAGCUGUCAUCUUGAACCAUAAUUUGCGGUAGAUGUGGUGGCAGUAAUGAAUUACUCAAAUAUUGCAUCUAUCCCAAACCAAUUUGUCAAACAGGGGUUUACCGUAAACUCUUGCUGGCUGGAUAAUAUUGAUAACCACGGAUGAAUGAUAUUACACAAAGUAAUGAUGAUGCAAGGGAGCGCAUCCAGUUUUGCUGAAGAUCGCCUCCACGAGGCUAACAUUGAACUUACCAUGUUGGAUUAAGCAAUGCUGCCACUCUUCUGUAGAUGCCCGAACAUGUAAAUUAUGUCUAAAUCCAUUAGUAGUAUAUCAAAACUCCAAGAUCCCCGGAGCCUGCAAUCUUUAUAUUCACUGCUGGACAAUCUCAUCUAAAUCAAAGAAUCCCUGUUCAACUGUUUUA